AUGAACGCUGGCGGCGUGCCUCAUACAUGCAAGUCGAGCGAACGGACGAGAAGCUUGCUUUUCUGAUGUUAGCGGCGGACGGGUGAGUAACACGUGGAUAACCUACCUAUAAGACUGGGAUAACUUCGGGAAACCGGAGCUAAUACCGGAUAAUAUUUUGAACCGCAUGGUUCAAAAGUGAAAGACGGUCUUGCUGUCACUUAUAGAUGGAUCCGCGCUGCAUUAGCUAGUUGGUAAGGUAACGGCUUACCAAGGCAACGAUGCAUAGCCGACCUGAGAGGGUGAUCGGCCACACUGGAACUGAGACACGGUCCAGACUCCUACGGGAGGCAGCAGUAGGGAAUCUUCCGCAAUGGGCGAAAGCCUGACGGAGCAACGCCGCGUGAGUGAUGAAGGUCUUCGGAUCGUAAAACCCUGUUAUUAGGGAAGAACAUAUGUGUAAGUAACUGUGCACAUCUUGACGGUACCUAAUCAGAAAGCCACGGCUAACUACGUG
rnacentral:rRNA from 1 species